rnacentral:rRNA from 1 species
GAGUUUGAUCCUGGCUCAGGAUGAACGCUGGCGGCGUGCCUAACACAUGCAAGUCGAACGAAGCAUGCCGGAGGAAGUUUUCGGAUGGAAUCCGGGAUGACUGAGUGGCGGACGGGUGAGUAACGCGUGGGUAACCUGCCCUGUACAGGGGGACAACAGUUAGAAAUGACUGCUAAUACCGCAUAAGCGCACAGGAUCGCAUGGUCCGGUGUGAAAAACUCCGGUGGUACAGGAUGGACCCGCGUCUGAUUAGGUAGUUGGCGGGGUAACGGCCCACCAAGCCGACGAUCAGUAGCCGACCUGAGAGGGUGACCGGCCACAUUGGGACUGAGACACGGCCCAAACUCCUACGGGAGGCAGCAGUGGGGAAUAUUGCACAAUGGGGGGAACCCUGAUGCAGCGACGCCGCGUGAGUGAAGAAGUAUUUCGGUAUGUAAAGCUCUAUCAGCAGGGAAGAAAAUGACGGUACCUGACUAAGAAGCCCCGGCUAACUACGUGCCAGCAGCCGCGGUAAUACGUAGGGGGCAAGCGUUAUCCGGAUUUACUGGGUGUAAAGGGAGCGUAGACGGCAGAGCAAGUCUGAAGUGAAAGCCCGCGGCCCAACUGCGGGACUGCUUUGGAAACUGCCCGGCUAGAGUGCUGGAGAGGUAAGCGGAAUUCCUAGUGUAGCGGUGAAAUGCGUAAAUAUUAGGAAGAACACCAGUGGCGAAAGGCGGCUUACUGGACAGGAACUGA